rnacentral:lncRNA from 1 species
CAGAACAACAGCCUCACAUCACUACACACAACAGUCACUCUGCUACAGAACGACAGCCCUCACAAUCACUACAACACAACAGUCACUCUGCUACAGAACGACAGCCUCACUCCAACACAACAAAAGAGUCACUCUGCUACAGAAGUGACAGCCCUCACGCCACUACAACACAACAGUCAAACUGCUACAGAAUGACAGCCCUCACACCACUUCAACACAACAGUCCCUCUGCUACAGUACUACAGCCCUCACCUCACUACAACACAACAGUCACUCUACACAGUCCUACAGCCCACACACUACAACACACAAUUGUUACUCGGCUACAGAACAACAGCCCUCACAUCACUACAACACACCAGUCACUCUGCUACAGAACGACAGCCCUCACAUCACUACAACACAAGAGUCACUCUACUACAGAAUGACAGCCCUCACGCCACUACAACACAACAUUCAAACUGCUACAGAUGACAGCCCUCGCGUCACUACAACACAACAGUCACUCUGCUACAGUACUACAGCCCUCACCUCACUACAACACAACAGUCACUCUGCUACAGUACUACAGCCCUCACUCACUACAACACAACAGUCACUCUGCUACAGUACUACAGCCCUCACCUCACCACAACACAACAGUCACUCGGCUACAGAACGACAGCCCUCACGCCACUACAACACAACAGUCACUCUGCUACAGUACUUACAAGCCCUCA